rnacentral:rRNA from 1 species
CACCAGACUCCUACGGGAGGCAGCAGUGGGGGAUAUUGCACAAUGGGGGGAACCCUGAUGCAGCGACGCCGCGUGGGUGAAGAAGCGCCUCGGCGCGUAAAGCCCUGUCAGCAGGGAAGAAAAUGACGGUACCUGAAGAAGAAGCCCCGGCUAACUACGUGCCAGCAGCCGCGGUAAUACGUAGGGGGCAAGCGUUAUCCGGAUUUACUGGGUGUAAAGGGAGCGUAGACGGCAGUGCAAGUCCGGAGUGAAAGCCCGGGGCUCAACCCUGGGACUGCUCUGGAAACUGUAAAGCUGGAGUGCGGGAGGGGCAGGCGGAAUUCCUGGUGUAGCGGUGAAAUGCGUAGAUAUCAGGAGGAACACCGGCGGCGAAGGCGGCCUGCUGGACCGUAACUGACGUUGAGGCUCGAAAGCGUGGGGAGCAAACAGGAUUAGAUACCCUCGUA